CGCGGGAGUGCAGUGUUUGUGCCGAUACCGACAGCAUUUUAGCCCCGCCGCUUGCUGCGUCAUGAUCCUUACAGCCCUCAAUAGCCCCGAUUCUGCAACAACCCAGCAUGAGAUAAAAGAAACCUGUGUUUUCCCUGCUAUGACAAGUCAAAGUAUCUGCCACGGAAAAGGUCUGUUGUGUGGCAGGUGGGCGACGGGCGGGGCUGUUACAUCAGCACAGCCGGGAGCACCUGGGCCCGGUGCUCCUCGAGCACUAAAAGAGAAUCCACUUCAGACCCCUCAGAGAGCAUCUCUUACAUAAAGCCCGAUGAACGUGGUGCUCUCGGUGCUCUGUAAAUGAAAGGUGAUCCGCACCAGGGCCUGCAGGCUCUUCAGCCCCACCGAAGUACUGCUGCAUAGUACACAGGCAUGACAAAGUGUUCCUGUGGAGAUUACAACUACUCCUAAUAUACCAUGUUUUGCUAAAUCGCUGAACUGUGAGGUAAAUAGCUGUAGGUGAGCCUGCCUGUCAUUGUAUGAAAACACUAUUGCACUUUUUGGCUGGUCAAGUUUUGUCAGUCUCCAGAUUCUGUAAAUGCAGAUGCCAUAAAGGCAAAAACAUCACGAGAUCACAAUAUCACAGCUAGGAGGAAAAACUAGAUAAAGACCUUUUUUAAAUAAAUGACCUUUUAUGAUUUGCUGAAAUGGAUAUGACAUGCACUUUUGAGACGUUGUGUAUACAUUGUCAUAUCCACUGAUUUUCUACAAUUCACUGUAUAUUUAAUGGAGCUUUGUUCACUGUUGUGACACAUAAGUUGAAUU